UGAUAGUUUCAGCUCAUACUGUAAUCAUCUGGUUUCUGCCUCUGUCACCCUUCCUGAACCUAGCCACCUACCAGCCAUUUAGACCUUGGUCAUGAGUGCUUUAGGUCUUGCCCCAGUCAUCAAAGAAACCAAUUAGAAGUUCAUGGAUGAGGCAGAGCCUGGAGACCUUCUGCUGGAGUGACGAUAUUUCCACAAAGAUGAAGGCAUCGGUGAUGAAGAAAGGGGUUUGCUGAAAACGAGUUGGCCUCCCAUGCCAGGCAAAGGGCAUGUAGGUGAACCUCUGCUCCCACUCACUGCUGAAAGUUCUGGAGAUGGAAUCCAGGGCCUGUGCAUGCCAAGCAAAUGUACCACUGAGCACACUCAACCCUGAAGCGCAUUGAGAAGAGGUGUGCACCUGUGCAAACAGGUCACCUGGGCUCUCCUGUCUGACCUGCGGAGCAGCCCAGCUCCCUCCACUGGAAGCUCUUUAUUUUUUCUGCUUCCUGGAGCCCCCUGAAAACUACAAAUCUCCCCAUUAAGGUACUGGAAUGCUCAUGGAACAUGUUGUUACUCUAAGACUCGACAUCAUUCAGUCCAUAAAGCAAUCCUGGAAAGCCAGUGCUACUGAUGCCCCCAUUAUACAGACAAGGAAACUGAUUCCAGACAGUUUACUUUGUAGACUAAAGUUAUGGUGCCUGGAAAUAAAGCAGGUGAUAGAGUUCCA